CUUUUUCUAUUAAAUGCAGGGGCAAAAUGAUAUUUUUAUAUUAAAAUAAAAAAAAUGAAUAAAAAAUUAUAUCUUUAAAAUAACAAUAAAAGAAAAUCAAAUAAAUAAAUAAAUAAAUAAAAAAGUUUUGGGGAGUAAAAAUUGGGAUAGAGAGUUUAAUUUUAAUUUUUUAUUCAUAUUUUUAUAAAUUUUGACACAAAAAUACCAUUUUGCCCUUGCAUUUAACAGAAAAGU
rnacentral:pre_miRNA from 1 species